GUCAUGAGAUUUUACAUGUUUUACCUAUCAUUUUCAUACUCAUUUAGAUCAUUUAGGAUGCAUUUAGAGUCCAAUUAGGUGCAUAGCAUAUGCAUUUAUGGUAUUUCAGGAUUAGUGAGGUUCGAGUUGGAGUUAUGAAGGUUUGGGCAAGAUAAGUGGACUUGAUGGAGUUGAGUAGAUGAGAUGGAGUGAAACUGAUGGGGCGCGGGCGUAUACUGCAGACGAAGGCGAGCCGCGGAUUGUUGGCUGAGGAGACCAUUCGGAGU
rnacentral:lncRNA from 1 species